rnacentral:rRNA from 1 species
UACGGAGGGGACUAGCGUUGUUCGGAAUUACUGGGCGUAAAGCGCACGUAGGCGGAUUUGUAAGUCAGGGGUGAAAUCCCGGGGCUCAACCUCGGAACUGCCUUUGAUACUGCAAAUCUCGAGUCCGGAAGAGGUGAGUGGAAUUCCUAGUGUAGAGGUGAAAAUUCGUAGAUAUUAGGAAGAACACCAGUGGCGAAGGCGGCUCACUGGUCCGGUACUGACGCUGAGGCACGAAAGCGUGGGGAGCAAACAGGG